AUGAAUAAGAAAGUGUGUCAAAUUUUCUGGUUUCCCAGUGCACAUUAAAGUUAUACACUAUACUAUACACUAUAGUAUAGUAUACUAUACUAUACUACACUAUACUAUGCUGUAAUCUAGUAAGUGUUCAUAGCAUUAUGUCUAUAAAAAUAAUGUGCAUACUUUAAUUUAAAAAUACUGUAUUGCUUAAAAAAAACCUGCUAAUGAUCACCUGAACUUUCAACAAGUUAUAAUCUUUUUCCUGGUGAAUGGUCUUGCCUUGAUAUUAAUGCCUGCUCACUAAUCAGGUGAAAGAUGAGGUGGCUGUGAGAAUUUCUUAAAAUAAGACAACAAUGAAGUCUGCCUCAUCAAUUGGCUCUUCCUUCCAUGAAAGAUUUAUCCAUAGUAUGUGGUGUUUGAUGGCAUUUUACCCACAAUAGAACUUCUUUCAAUAUUAGAGUCAAGCCUUUUAAACUAUGUUACUGCUUUAUCAACUAAGUUUAUGUAAUAUUCUUUAUUGUUAUUUUAACAGUGUUCACAGAAUCGUCAUCAGAAGUAGACUCCAUCCCAACAAACCACUUUCUUUGCUCAUUCAUAAGAAGCAACUACUCAUCCAUUGAAGUUUUAUCAUGAGAUUGCAACAAUUCGGUCACCUCUCCAGGCUCCACUUCUAACUCUAGUUCUCUUGCUUUUUUCAUCACAUCUGCGGUUACCUCCUCCGCUGAAGCCUUAAAGCCCCCCAAGUCAUUCAUGAGGGAAUGUGUGAUGAGCAGAAAUAACGUAGACUGUGACUUGGGCUCCUUUUAUCUCUAAAUUUUUUUCAAAGAGGUAAUCUUAUCAACUGAUUUAUAGAACUCAUUUUUUUCCAAAGUGUUUAAUUUUUUGUACAGAUAUUAAGUGUAUGCCAAUAAAUUAAAUAUCUCAAUAAUGGUAGUAAUAAAUAAAGUGCUGGGAUUACAGGCCUGAGCCAUUGCACCCAGCCAAGGAACAUUUGAUUUUUAAAUGACUAUAUAUGUAUUUGACAAUGACUAUAUAUAUAUAUGUGUGUGUGUGUGUGUGUGUAUGUGUGUGUAUUGUAUAUAUAUAUAUACACACAUGUGUGUGUGUGUUUGUGUGUAUAUAUACACACACAUAUUAGCGACUUUGAACUUGUUGUGAAAUCUCAAUAUGAAAAGGAUAGAAUAAGUCAUGGAAAGCUGAAAGGUCUAGUUAAAAGAAGCCAAAGGACAAAGAUACAUGAAUCUAGGCUUCAGGUACAAAUUUGCAUUAACUGUCCCUUAAAAAGGAACAUGUAUACACUCUGUUGCCAAUUUCCUAUCUGUAGACUUGGUUGCUAUCUCACAGGUUGACUCCAGGUAAAAUGUGUGAACUUCUAGAAAAUAUUAAAACCAGUCAAAAGUUAACUUUAUUUCAUACUUUCAUUAUAUAAAUAUUUAGUUUAUAGGUAUACAUCUGAAAUCUGUACAAAAAAAUUAAAUACUUUGUGAAAAAAGUGAGCUCUAUAAAUCUAAGGCACAGCUGUCCGCUAAUCAUCCUAUUUCCCAGGAAGGGAUGCGAUGUGGGAUUUUUGUGCUUUGGAUUAGGCCCAAAGUUUCUUUCUGGCUGUUUCUGGAAAGUCUGGGGCGGGGCAUCACUUAACCUUCUUUAGCAGGUCACUUUUUCCUUUGUAUCCUUCCUUCCCAAUCAUACAAAGUCCUAUGAAUGCAAGAAGAAUAUACAAGCAAUACGUAGUUGCAUAAUUGUAGUUUGUUUUGAUAUUUUGUGCCCUUCUCAAAGGGAAUGGAGAAAUGACCAGGGACACACGUUCUCUGUUAGGCUAAGAGAGCACUCCUAGAACACGCUGACUGCUCCACAAAUUGCUGACUGGUGAAGCUAAAUUCUCUGAUAUGUGUAAAAACCUCCCUGGUUACUUAGUUGAAGGUAGACUGUUUAGCAGGAUUUUGUUAUAGUGAUAAAUUAACUUUUGCAAUUUGAUAAGUGAGAAGAUACAAAAAAGAUAAUCUCUCCUAGUUAGUCUUUACCAUAAUUGGAAGUCAAAAUCUUAGGUCCAAAUUUUAUCUUUUAUAAAUGUUAGUGCAGACAUAAGGAAAACAAACAGCAAUCACAACUUGAGAUGCAUUUUGCUUAAAAUAAGAAACCCAAAUUGCAUGGGAUGGGCAGCGUUAGGUUUAGAUAUAGAUGGUCAGAUGGUAAUAACUUCAAUGUUUGUAAUAAAAAAGAAUGUAAUGAUUAAUAAUUAAUUAGCAUUCUGUAUUUUAACUGAUAAAAGUGAUUUUCUCUGUGUUUGUUUUACCCUUUUCUAAAAUAUUGUAAUUAUUUUUCUGGAAGCAUAUGCAAAGGAAAAGCUGUUUGAAAGAGAAAGGAAUUUUCCAAGGAAUAUUUGAUUUUUUUUUUUUUUUGCUGUUUUCUUGGGUUUUGAGACACAGGCUCACUCUGUUGCCAAGACUGGAAUUCAGUGGCACAGUCUCGGGUCACUACAACCUCAACCUCCAAUGUUCAAACUGUGCCCUGUGGCAUAGGUUUUACAAACAUACUUAUCUUCAUAUUUGGUUGUGAAACCACUUGAGGGCCAGAGAUGGAAGGGGUAGUGGGACAUUGAGUAGUGAACAUAAACUAGCCUGGACCCCUGAGACCCAGCAUCACUAGCUGUUUGACCUUGGGCAGGGCAAUUAUCCUCUCUGGUCUUAUUUCCUUCUUUGUGUCCAAAAACGAAGCUAAUGAUUCCUGUGAGGUAUACCUCCCGGGGAGGGGGGGAGGUUUUAAAAAGAUCAAAAUGAAUAAUAAAUGGGCCUUAAAAAUCAUUGAAAUGGCAGAGAUUUAGCUUUUAGCCAGUGGAAAUGGUGUGAAAUAAGAGCAUCGGUUUGUGGAAAUGGUGGGGAUAAUCGAUAAUAAUGUUUGAACUGGAUUUAUGAGAGAAUGGGUGGCACUGAGUAAUUUUUUUACAAGUCCCAAGUAAAUUCAGUCAUAAAAGCACUCACUUAAAAUGCUAUACAAGUUUCUAAAUGCUCUUAUUUUUUUAUUGCAUAUAUUUAAGGUGAGAAACAUAAUGUUUUGAUAUUCAUAGUGAAAUAGCCACUGAGUAUUUUUGAAAUAGCUUCUUGUUCAUGCAAUGUGACUCAGUUUGCCGGGGUUCAAACCUCAGUUUGGCAGUUUAUAAAUUGUUUGCUCCCAGGCUUUACCUAACCCUCAGUUUUUCAACAAUAAAAUGAAUAUAAUAAAAGUUACUAUUUCCAAGAGUUGUGAGGAUUUCAAAGAGUAAAGUGUGCAUGCCUGGAACAUAGCACCUAAAAUUAAUAAUUCAUAGUAAUAGAAAUGACAUGAUUGGAGGUGUGCUUUAGGAAGGUUGUGAUGGUGUGGACUGAAAACUGGGGGCUGGUGAGGAUGCCUAAAAGAGGGCAGUCAAGUGGGAGUUCAAAGAGAUUUGGAGCCUUAGCCAGGAAGGGUCCAAGUGAGAGGUUAACUUGGGUACCAGCAGUGGGAAUGUCAGGUGUCAGAUACUUUAAAACCUUUUAUAGGUGAGAAAAAAAGUGUGAAAUAGGUGAUUUUUAACUGUCCAAAAAUUAAAGCUUGUCUUUUUUUUAAGGGUUUAGUUUAAAAAAGUUUGAUGACGAAAUUUGUAAUGGUUUGUUUCAGACCAAAAAUGCUAUAAAUACGCCAGAUAAUUCUAGCCUUCGCACCUGUUCAAACAGCAACAAAGAUAAAGUGAACCAGAGGAAAGACCAACCCCUUCCUUUCCUUAAUGAGGCCUCAUUGAUUUUUGCAAACAAAUGAAAGACAAUAAACUUCCCCAAAUGCCUCUUUUUUCAAAGCCAGGCUGUGUUACUGACCUGAGUAUUCCCAGAAGACUCAAGGCGUAAGGCCCCACAGCUGGAUCAUAAAAUGUUUUUGCAGCUCUGAAGAUAUUCCUUAAGUCCCUUUGUUACCCCCAGAGCUUUGGGAGUUUGGGAAUAUAUCCCAUGGGCCCCAAGACUAACUUUUUUGUUUGUUGACUUCACAGGUCAAUGACCAAAACCUCUAAAAAUUCACAAAGAAGCUCAUGAGGAGGUCAGAGGCUGCCCAAAAGGCAUUUGGUCUGUGGUCCAGGAGCUCAGGACAGACCUAAGAUUUAAGUGAGGUCUGGGCUGGAGUAACUCUUAGCAACCUGUCAUUACCUACAGAGCACCGAGUUGGCUUCCUUCCCAUGGCUUCUGUUUUGUAUUUUCAUCUCUGCCCAGAACUCUGUCAUCUAGUGUUGCACUGUUCAGGGUGGGACCCACAAGCCAAAGUGACUGUUGAGUACUUGAAAUGGGACUAACAUUGAG